rnacentral:rRNA from 1 species
CGGCAACAGCUCAAAUUUGAAAUCUGGCGCAAGCCCGAGUUGUAAUUUGUAGAGGAUGCUUCUGGGCAGCGGCCGUUCUAAGUUCCUUGGAACAGGACGUCAUAGAGGGUGAGAAUCCCGUAUGUGACCGGCACGUACCCUCCGCGUAGCUCCUUCGAC